AUUGAACGCUGGCGGCAGGCCUAACACAUGCAAGUCGAGCGGAUGAAGGGAGCUUGCUCCUGGAUUCAGCGGCGGACGGGUGAGUAAUGCCUAGGAAUCUGCCUGGUAGUGGGGGAUAACUUCCGGAAACGGGCGCUAAUACCGCAUACGUCCUGAGGGAGAAAGUGGGGGAUCUUCGGACCUCACGCUAUCAGAUGAGCCUAGGUCGGAUUAGCUAGUUGGUGGGGUAAAGGCCUACCAAGGCGACGAUCCGUAACUGGUCUGAGAGGAUGAUCAGUCACACUGGAACUGAGACACGGUCCAGACUCCUACGGGAGGCAGCAGUGGGGAAUAUUGGACAAUGGGAGAAAGCCUGAUCCAGCCAUGCCGAGUGUGUGAAGAAGGUAUUCGGAUUGUAAAGCACUUUAAGUUGGGAGGAAGGGCAGUAAGUUAAUACCGUGCUGUUUUGACGUUACCAACAGAAUAAGCACCGGCUAACUUCGUG
rnacentral:rRNA from 1 species